rnacentral:lncRNA from 1 species
CUCCACUUUCUACCUCUUUUCCACAGGCCUGUUUCCCCUCAGACCACUUGGGAGUGUGAUGGGCUUUCCUGCUGGCCCCUGGCUGCCAGGCACCCUGACCCCUGCCCUAGCCCCACCUUGCUGUCAGGCCUUCUCAGCCCGGCUGACCUUUGUGCUCUAGACUGUUUCCUCACUCCGUACUCCCGCUAAACCCUAACCAGUUUCAGAUCUUGGUCCUUUAGGGCUCUGUCUUCUGUUUCCCAAGAGCUUCGUUGAUUACCUCGAAAGGCGGGGGCUGGGACGGGGCACCGCAAUUCAAGGCACAACAGAAAUCGGGAGUGGAGCAUUUCUUCGGACCAUGCGCAUAACUUUGUGUUAAGUGUUGGCACUACAACGAAUUUCACCGAACUCUGCGGACCGCCCUAACAACCCAGCACAUCGACUACUCCCUGAGCGCAGACGGUGCGCGCUUCCUUGGUGGGCAUGGCGCUUCUGCCACCGCAGCCUGCAGACGUAGCCAGGAACCUCCCACCUACAGGCACUAUUAAUCACAGUGGAAACGAACAGGAAUCAACGCAUAAUGGAUAAGAUUAGCCGUCCGCGGAAGCACAGCACUUCAAACCGAGUGGUAAACACCGGCCAGCAGCUCUGCCAGAUAUAAUCAGAGACAAGAGCACUUCUGCCACCAAUCCAGAGACGAGAGUGCCCUGGAGUGUGGGCCUGGUGCAUCCUUAGGACCGGAACCUUUUUCGAAAGUGACCUUUUUAAUCAUGUUGUAACUGAGUGCCUGAUAGAAGGAUGGUGCUCUGUAUGGAUUCUAGAAUCUAGGGGAAGGAGCCAAAGAGUAAAUAUUUGUGGGUGUUUAUCCUGUGCUGCAAAUACUGUUUGAUAGGUCACUGGAUAACAUAAAAGCCAGCAUUUACAGAACACUUACUAUCUGUGCCAGGCCAGGGGUCUCCUUGAAGUCCAUGUGGAUGCAGAAUCCUACGGUCCCCCCAUUCAUCCAUCCCCCCUUUCUCCUGUCCUUCCACAAUCAAAUAGGGAAGAAAAGAUCAUAAACAGAGAGCACAGCAUUUGUGGCAUUUUAGUUUAAGGAUGUGGGCAGUGGUACAAAAGGCAGGUUCUGCCGGUGUAGCCCCUUGGUCCCAUCAGAGUUGGGGGAAUUGCUACUUGACAUGAGGCUCUUAUUAUUGCGGAACAACUCUUCUGAAACUGCUCAAAGUUCAUCUUUUUUCCAGCUUUAUUAAGGUAUGAUUGAUAAAUAAAAAUUGUAUUCAUUUACGUUGUAUAACAUGACUUUUUUUUUUAAGACAUACGGUGUUAUUUGAUAUAUGUGUCCAUUGUGAAAUGAUACCAAAAUCAACUUAAUUAACACAUGCAUCACCUCACAUAGUUACCUUUUUUUUUUUUCCAAGUUCAGUUUUAAAAUCCACGGUCACCUGCUCCCUAUUUCGUGCACCUGAAUCUCUUGCCGGUUCCAACUGCUUCCUCCCUACCCUUUUGCUCAGGCUGCUUCCCCAGCUGGAAGGCACAGGUCCUAUACUUCGGCCAACUGCUACAAACCUCUCAAGAUCCAACUCGGGUACCACUUCCUCCGGGAAGCAUUUCCCGACCCCAUCCUUUGCCCGUCUCCCUUUACCACAGCAUGGCUCGUUCUCUAACACGCGGAGCUGGUCACUGGUCUGUGGACACGCACUGGCUCUUCCACCUCCGCUUCCCUGCAGAGGGGACCCCGGACACGGAGAUGAACUGGAGAGACAGCCCCCUGACUGCUCGUCCUCCUUAAAUCUAUCCGCACACCGCAGCAGCAUCUGAACUACUGCCCGAGCGAACGAGCUUCUUACAAACCGGUCGGACCACAUCCCUGCCCUCCUUCACGGCUCCCUGGCCCCCGGACCCUGGGACAUUGCAGCCCCCGCCGUCCCCCAGCGCUGCGCGGGCCUUCCCCGCGGCCCCACGUCCUCCCGGGCGCCCUGUGCGUGUGCUCCCCUGACCUUCUCACCGCUUUCGCGAGUCUGGGCCUCUGCGUUUGGGGUCGUCCCUAUUUCUCCCUUCCUCGCGCCCCUCGAACUCCUCCCCAGCUCGCACACCGCUGCCCCGCGGAGCUCUCCCCAGCGCCCCCGCAGACCCAGCCGCCCUAUCCUGCUGCCGCGCUCCGCGCCUCCAUCACCGCUCCAUCCCCACUGUUCCGCGGGAAGCCCUCGGGGCGGGGCCGCGCCUCAGACCCCUCCGUGUCCCGACGGCCGUACAGCGGUCGGCAAGAGGAACGCCUCUGCCAGGCAUGUAGAGGGCAGCGGGGCAGGACUGCUGCAGAGGUGAAGGGAGCACGAGGGACAGACAGGAGCGCAGAGAGAGGGGCAAGCACCGCGUCCUGGCUGAGAGGAUAACGCAAACGCUGAAUACCUACAUUACACCAGCCGAGGGUCAGCCCCAUGUCCCGCUGAUUUUCGCAUGCAACAACCCUGUGUCAAGCUGAUCUCGUGGUGUUCGCUGAGAGGGGUGAGGAGAGGGUCGGAUGACGCCAGCAGCUGGAAGGGAGGGGGAGGAGGGGCACACAGUUACUGCCCUCCUGGUCCUGCUCUGCUGGGCAGCUAUCACCAAGCAGGAGCCCUGUCCCACUCUGGCAGGACACAUGAGUGUCCCCUUCCUCUCCAACCCCUUGUAGGAGGCAUCAUGGUAUAAUGGGAGAAGCAGGGGCCUCAGAGCCAUAGAGACCUGGGUUCAAAACCCAGCUCAGCUGUUGCUAGCUGUGUGAUUGCAUGCAAGUUACUUAACCCCUCUGAUCUUCAGACUACUCUCCUGAAAAAUAGGAAUUUUAAAAAACCAAAACUUACUCCACAGGAUUAUUCAUUCCUAGAACAAAUUUUUUUUGAGUCCUCAUUUGUAUUAUUUCUGAUCUAGUCAAUGGGAAUAUAGUAGCUUCAUAUAUAAUAAGUACUUAAAUAUUAGCUUCUUUCUUUUCUGCUAUUCAUUCCCUAAUCGAAAGCACAGAAUCCUUAGAGAAAUCCCCUCCUUUUUUCCUCUUCUCUAGUGCACAUUGUUUUGUCCUCCAAGUAAAGAUCACCUAAUAACAAGAGUAACACCUAACACCAGGUACUUACUACCUGCUAGGCACUAUUUGCAGUACUUACAUACUUUACUAAUUUAAUGCUCACAACAACACAAAGAGAUUGAUUUUACAAAUAAGGAAAAGGAAGCACAGAGAAGCUAAGGGAUUUGUCAUGGUCACACAGCCAGUAAAUUAUGGAGCUGGGAUUUGCACCAGGGCUCCUGGGUUCGAGUCCACAGCCUGAGCCAAUACGUUAGAGAUCAUAUAGUUCAGGCCCUCUGCGUGAUAGCGUGUCUUCACAGCUGUCUCUCUUCCCCCAUCCCUCCUUGUCUUUUCUCUUCUCCUCUCUUCUGUUCUUUUCCUCUCAGCUGAAGAAACUGAAGGCUACUUUGGACAGGGUUAGGUGACAGGCUCAAAGUUACACAACUCCUGUGGCCUUUAUCCUCCAUUCCCGGGCCCUUCCUCUGACACUGUGCAACAGUAGACAAUCAGUGUGAAGGCAAACAGCUGAAAUUAAUUACAAUUUUGAGUAAAUAAUUUAUAUAACUUUAUACUCCCCGUUGUGACAACCAUUUGAAGGUAUCAGAUGUAAUGGUAAAAAGAUUCCCAUUAGAUACCAUUAUGCUUCUUUUAGUUUAAUUAAUCCCAAUCUGAAAUGCACUCUUUGUUUUUGCUAGCCUUGUUUGAAUUUCUGCCCCCACAAAUAUUUGUGCUGUUGUUUUAGUUUCAAUUAGCUUCUGGUGUUUUCCUUGGACUGGUUUUUGUGAUGGAAUGGGGGUGGAGUGUUUACAGUCUGACCUGUCAUCUGUGAAGCUUUGCCUCCCCAAACCACCACAGCCCCAGCUCAGAGACGACAACGAAGUACAGUCAAAACAAGCCCAGGGCGCUGGGGAGCCCGGGAGCACUGGCCCCGCUGCAGACUCACUCUGAAGCCCAAGCCACCCGGAGGCAGUCGUCACACGGAGGAGCAUUGCACACAAGGCCUCCACGGAAUUUCCAGAACUUUGCCCUUGAACUGACAUGAGGUCACCAGAAUCUAGAACCUAAUUCCAGGAAGAAUACUUUCUGGUAUCAAGGAGGUACUCAACCCAGAAGAGAUAAGAAAGUCAAUAGGUGCCAUUGACAAAUUGGGGCAUAAGUUUACAGAGGGUGGUGUAGGUGAUAAACGAGACACUGGAGGCAGAACACUAUUUGCAGACAGAAGAAUUUCCCAGCUCACCUGUAUGAGUCAAUGAACUCCUCUGAGUUUUGAUUUCCUCAUCUGUAGAAAAAGGAGAUACUAAUACUUGGCUUGCUGACCACCCAGGGAUCAAAUGAGGAAAUUAGGCACAUGAGAUCAAUCUGAAAACUGCAAAGUACUCUAGAAAUACGAUGAAUUAUAUUACUGCUAUUCCAUAACUCGUAUAUAAAGAAAGUGGAGUUUCACUGGAAUAACAUAUAUAACAGUGAUUUCCACUGAAAUGCACCAGAAAGAAUGAUGCAACUCAUUGUGAGACUUUUAUUGCAUUUUUAAACCUGGGAGAGACAGCUUUGCACACAUAACAAAACACAGCAAGAAAGCGUCAGACAGGGACUGUGCGCCUGCACCAGCCUGAGUGUUCCAGACACACUGGGAAGGAUGAGGCAGGUGAGACGUGCAGCCUGGAAGAGUCAACUCCUCUGUGUGCACAAGGGGGCAGGCACAGCCACUGGGCUGCCGCCCCAGGGUAAGGGGUACUCAAGCCCCAGGCAGAUGUUAGAGACUGCUGUGGACUAAAUUGCGUCCCCCAAAAGCAUGUGUUGAGGCCGUAACCCCCAAUGUGACAAUGUUUAGAAAUAGGGCUUUUAGGAGGUAAAGUGAAAUGAGGGCGUAGGGACAGGGCCCUGAUCCAAUGGGAUUGGUGGCAUUAUACAAAGAAGAAGAGCUCGUCCUGGCCUUCUCCCUCUCUCCCCUCUCUACCUCCCCCUCAGAGGGAAGGCCACGUGAGGACAAAGUAGCCAUCUGCAAGCCAGGAAGAUGGCUCCCACCAUAAGCCAAUCCUGCUGGAACCCAGAUCUUGGACUUUCCAGCCUUCAGAACUGUGAGAAAAUUAAUUUCCGUUGUUUAUGCCACCAGUCUGUGGUAUUUUGUUAUGACAGCCAAGAAGACUGAGACAUGGACAACGUACUCAUUUUUGUUUUACAGCUCAGUUUCAUUCCCACAGUGCAGAGGCUAAAAGCUCACGUGUUGGAUUUUCACCACCAGAGAUCAUAUCCUGCCUCUCACAUUUCUUGGCUAUGGAAAUCUGAGAAACUUAAAAAAUCUCCAACUCCCAGUUUUCUCAUCUAUAAAAUGGGAAUAAUAAUAGUAAUAACAGCAUCUACCUUGGGCUUGCUGUAAAGAAAUGCAGCAGCCAGCAUAGUGCUGGCACUUAGUAAGUGCCCAGUUAAUGUUAACUGUCACCAUCAAUCCUAGAAAAAGUCCGGUAUUAAGCACAAAAUACUCUGCAACCAAGUUAAAGCUAGAUCUCCCAUUGCUGAGUCAACCCCGCACUCUCCACCCGCCAAUUAGCUGUCUAUUGAUCUGUAAAGCCAGUUGACUGAGU